rnacentral:tRNA from 1 species
UGGGCUAUAGCCAAGUGGUAAGGCAGCGGAUUUUGAUUCCGUCAUUCGUUGGUUCGAAUCCAGCUAGCCCAGC